UGGGGAAUAUUGCACAAUGGGCGGAAGCCUGAUGCAGCGACGCCGCGUGAGGGAUGACGGCCUUCGGGUUGUAAACCUCUUUCAGCAGGGACGAAGCGGCUGGGUUUUCUCGGUGGUGACGGUACCUGCAGAAGAAGCGCCGGCCAACUACGUGCCAGCAGCCGCGGUAAGACGUAGGGCGCGAGCGUUGUCCGGAUUUAUUGGGCGUAAAGAGCUCGUAGGCGGCUUGUCGCGUCGUUCGUGAAAACCCACGGCUCAACUGUGGGCUUGCGGGCGAUACGGGCAGGCUAGAGUUCGGUAGGGGAGACUGGAAUUCCUGGUGUAGCGGUGAAAUGCGCAGAUAUCAGGAGGAACACCGGUGGCGAAGGCGGGUCUCUGGGCCGAUACUGACGCUGAGGAGCGAAAGCGUGGGGAGCGAACAG
rnacentral:rRNA from 1 species